GUCAUGCACAGCGAGCGGUGAGGAUCGCCCGUCAACUUCCCAAGCAGGUUCAUCUGGCUGGAGUCAGCUUGCACGACAGAUGAAAUCUCUGCUGACUUUGAUAUUUUGUUUCCACUUUAUAUGGAAGAGAGACGCUGAUUAAACUUGUGAUCUGAACACCAGCAUGUGACUUGGUACUCGCCUUGUGACCUUACUGGAAGCAGCAAAGCCGCAGAUAGGUGUGCGUAGAUAAAGGACAGGCUCCAUCAUUUGUUUUCGGAGUUCCUUGUUAACCAGCUGGAUGUGUACGGCCCAUAAUGCCACAGAAGUGACA